rnacentral:rRNA from 1 species
AGAGUUUGAUCCUGGCUCAGAUUGAACGCUGGCGGCAGGCCUAACACAUGCAAGUCGAGCGGAUGAGUGGAGCUUGCUCCAUGAUUCAGCGGCGGACGGGUGAGUAAUGCCUAGGAAUCUGCCUGGUAGUGGGGGACAACGUUUCGAAAGGAACGCUAAUACCGCAUACGUCCUACGGGAGAAAGUGGGGGAUCUUCGGACCUCACGCUAUCAGAUGAGCCUAGGUCGGAUUAGCUAGUUGGCGAGGUAAAGGCUCACCAAGGCGACGAUCCGUAACUGGUCUGAGAGGAUGAUCAGUCACACUGGAACUGAGACACGGUCCAGACUCCUACGGGAGGCAGCAGUGGGGAAUAUUGGACAAUAGGCGAAAGCCUGAUCCAGCCAUGCCGCGUGUGUGAAGAAGGUCUUCGGAUUGUAAAGCACUUUAAGUUGGGAGGAAGGGCAGUAAGCUAAUACCUUGCUGUUUUGACGUUACCGACAGAAUAAGCACCGGCUAACUUCGUGCCAGCAGCCGCGGUAAUA